rnacentral:rRNA from 1 species
GAUGAACGCUGGCGGCGUGCCUAAUACAUGCAAGUCGAGCGAACGGACGAGAAGCUUGCUUCUCUGAUGUUAGCGGUGGACGGGUGGGUAACACGUGGAUAACCUACCUAUAAGACUGGGAUAACUUCGGGAAACCGGCGCUAAUCCCGGAUGAUAUUUUGAACCGCAUGGUUCAAAAGUGAAAUACGGUCUUGCUGUCACUUAUAGAUGGAUCCGCGCUGCAUUAGCUGGUUGGUAAGGUAACGGCUUACCAAGGCAACUAGGCAUAGCCGACCUGAUGGACUGAUAGGCGACAUGGGAGCUGAGCCGCGGUCAAGACGCCUACGGGAGGCAGCAGUAGCGAAUCUGACGCAAUGGGCGGAAGCCUGACAGAGCAACGCCGCGUCAGAGAUAAAGGUCUUCGGAUCGUAAAACUCUGUUAUUAGGGAAAAACAUAUGUGUAAGUAACUGUGCACAUCGUGACGGUACCUAAUCAGAAAGCCACGGCUAACUACGUG